GUGAAAAUAAAUGUUCCUGUCAUAAACAAUAUUACCUACGGGCAAUAUCCCCGUACUUAAUCCUAUUGAUUUUUAAUCACUGGUAAACCAAACUAUGACACGGUAAUUAACAACUUGCAGUUAUUUUCCAUGAACAGUUUUAAUCAAUUUCAAAAAGUAAAUUAUCACUGAUAUUCGAUAUAUUUAUUAUAGAUUUAAUCAAAAUACUUGUAUCUUCUUUCAAUAAAAAACACGUGUUAUGUUACAAUGUUUAUCGCUAAUCAACACUAUACUAGAACUGCAUAACAUAACCGGAAAUAAACAUCCGACUCCAUACACAUUUCUCGGAAGUAUUCUUCGUUGAAUUCUUAAAUUCGUGGUUCGCUGUGACCCACGAAACCCACGAAAAUUGGUAUACCACGAAUAAAAAU
rnacentral:lncRNA from 1 species